AUGUUCUCAUAAAAACAGAUGGAUGGAAAUUUAGAUUCGAGGGAAAGACACCUUCCGGAGGUUCUAUUUUCUAAGUAGUUUCCUGAUUCAGGUGAUUAAAGAUCUUCAAACUAGGCAGCACGACUUGAUGAAAACACAAACCAAUGUCUAAGAACUGAUGAAGACUUUUAAAAAGACCUCAAAAUACACAGGGACAAAAAUGAUUCCGAAUCUAAGUCAAUACUUCCACUUUUUGAAUGAUUCUAUGGACGAGAAUGAAAAUUACAAAACAACAACAGAAAAAACGUUAUAGGCUGCGAUCUACAUAUUAGCAAGUGAAUUUAUCAUUGGCGUUUAAUAAUAAUUCCUAUAGUAUAACAAACAUUUCUUCCAACAUUCUAAAAUAAUGCAUUCUGUAAAAUUCAUAGAUCAGCAUCACGUUUUCUCGUUGAAUAAUAUAUGUAUAUAAAACUCCAGCGCUUUAGCCUUGAGGAAGACAGGCUUACGUAUUGAAAGCGCUGUUAUUUGUUUUCUUUUUAAAGUAAUUCACCAACUUUUCUAAUCCGACGUACAUAAAUUGAUUGUCUCUGAAAAAUUUCCUUCAGACGUUGGAAACUGACAAUCAGGCAAAAGUAUGAGCAAAAUAAUCCAGCACGGUGCUCUAAAGGACAAUCUUAUCUUACGUAUUAAAACAAAAAUUUUCUUAAACAUAAAUCAGUGCAAGAUUAAUACCAGACUACAUCUAACUGAAACCUACUUUGCAAAAUCUCUACAGAAUUCAGUAGCUCAA